rnacentral:rRNA from 1 species
UACGAAGGGGGCUAGCGUUGCUCGGAAUCACUGGGCGUAAAGGGUGCGUAGGCGGGUUUUUAAGUCAGGGGUGAAAUCCUGGAGCUCAACUCCAGAACUGCCUUCGAAACUGACGAUCUUGAGUUCGGGAGAGGUGAGUGGAACUGCGAGUGUAGAGGUGAAAUUCGUAGAUAUUGGGAAGAACACCGGUGGCGAAGGCGGCUCACUGGCUCGUAUCUGACGCUCAGGCGCGACAGCGUGGGGAUCAAACAGG